CAUAGGACUGGUGGCAGAGUAGAGC
rnacentral:piRNA from 1 species